AUCUUAAGUCUUCAAAGUACAUUGAACAAUGGCUACUGCUGCAUAAAUAUUUCUUUUUAACGUUCCUUUUGAUCGCGGGUAUUCCUCUCUCGAACUGUCAAUAUAAGUAUAUAAGUUGCAGGAUGAAAGCAGGAUACUGUGCCGAGACUUGUCCAAAAAAAUGGGGUGCUAUAAAUAUGAGAUAUGAGUGUGUAGAAGACUGGAGUAAUCCCUUAAUGUGUUGCGUAGAAAAUUGGAUCGGCAGUGGAUAAACCAAUCUCCAAUCUAAGCGUAGCCCUAGGACGUUGAAGCUUUUAUUUUGAGCCUGCGAAGUUCAUUUUCAUACGCCUGUAGUACCUAGUUAAAACCGACAAAUCAAGGAACGUAUCGGAUCGAUCCUGCCCAGAAAAUAAACAUACUUAACUUGUACAUUAAGCCAUUUGUGUCAAUUGUUAUGUCAAUUGUAACGAAUGAAUUAGAUUCGAGGUGCUAUAAGAACUUAAAAAGUGGUACCGAAUCGCCAUUCCUCGAAGCACUUGGAACUAUGAUGAGGCUGAAUAGGUAUAUUUUUAUGUCUUUGAUGUUAAGCGUAUUGUUUUCUUUCUCCAACGGAGGCAGACCUUGUAAAGGCAACGGAGGUGAAUGUGUGCCAAUCUCAAAGGUACCCAACCAAUGUGCAAAAAUGGAACGGCAUCCCUACCUAACAUUUGAGUCGUCCGAUUGUUCGAACAACGAACUGUGUUGUAUUCACGUAAUUUAAUUGGAACAGAUGCUCAAAGUUCUACAGUAAAUACGACUAAAGUUACCCCAAACUCCCAACCAAUA
rnacentral:sRNA from 1 species